GACGAACGCUGGCGGCGUGCCUAAUACAUGCAAGUAGAACGCUGAAGGAGGAGCUUGCUCUUCUGGAUGAGUUGCGAACGGGUGAGUAACGCGUAGGUAACCUGCCUGGUAGUGGGGGAUAACUAUUGGAAACGAUAGCUAAUACCGCAUAAUAACAGUUGUUGCAUGACAACUGUUUGAAAGGUGCAAUUGCAUCACUACCAGAUGGACCUGCGUUGUAUUAGCUAGUUGGUGGGGUAACGGCUCACCAAGGCGACGAUACAUAGCCGACCUGAGAGGGGGGGCGGCCAAGCUGGGAUGGGGACAAGGGCCAGACUCCUUCGGGAGGCAGCAGUGGGGGAUCUUCGGCGAUGGACGGAAGUCUGACCUAGCAACGCCGCGUGAGUGGAGUAGGUUGUCGGAUCGUCAAGCUCUGUUGUCUGUGAAGAACGAGUGUGAGAGUAGACAGUUCACACUGUGACGGUAUCUUACCAGAAAGGGACGGCUAACUACGUG
rnacentral:rRNA from 1 species